rnacentral:tRNA from 1 species
AAGGGAGACCUAAUUCAGGUAGGAGACGAAAAAAUAGUAGUCCCAACCAAGAAUCAAUCCCAAAAGGUCGGAGCGAGGCGAAAUUGGCUUUCAAACUAGGUUCUGGGUUCAAACAAGACCUGAAUCAGGAACAAGGGCUAUUAGCUCAGGUGGUUAGAGCGCACCCCUGAUAAGGGUGAGGUCCCUGGUUCGAGUCCAGGAUGGCCCACCUGCACAGGUGGCAAAAACAAGAGAAACGAGGAAUCAGCACCUUAUCUUACUUACAUAGUAAGAGAGAAUGCUGGCUCUGAGUAAAGAGUCCAGAGGAACCUUGAAAACUGCAUAGAGCUAGGUGAAAAAGCCAAAAAAGAAGACCGCAA